GGGUAGUCCUUGUUCUGCUUGGGGGGCUUUAAGGAAGCAAAUGGACUUUCAGAACAGAGAUUGUCAAUAAAGGCUACAACAGUAGUUCCAUCUAAAGAACAACAUGUGUCAACUCUUCUUCUAAUACAUGGCAAGCAGCAAGAACAAAUGAACAAAUUGUACAGUGUUCUAUGUCAAGAAUAAUCAAGAACUCUGUAUAUGUUCUGCAUGACAUCAAGCACAGUGGAGGCCAAUGCUGGUACUGGAGCACGUUUCACAGCAGCUGAAUGUGGACUUGCUGAUCACUGAGCAUCUUGAUAGAGAGCUGUUAAUCUCUCCUCCAGAUCUGGAUGGAGUCUCAUGCUGCCUUGAAGCACUGAGCGAUGCCAUGCCAACUCAAGGCAAGGUCUUUAUUGCUAAAAGAUCUUGCAUAAUGACAUCUUUAUUCAUGUGAAAACACAAGAUGAAUUUCAACUGUAUGAAAUUGUUUAUGUUCAUCAGAAAUGUUAUUUGUCUUUACGAAGACUGGAUUCAAUGAACUGGC